rnacentral:sRNA from 1 species
AUGCUGCGGAGGGGAGACAGUGAGUUUCUGGACGCUGACUCUGACCUCUCAUAGAAAAAAUAAUGAAAGAUUUUCCCAUUUAAUUGUGUUCCCUCACAUCUCUGCUGAAUCUUUCAUUGCUUCCUUCACUCCACUUCACUUGUUAGAGAGAGAGAGGGAGAAGCUCAGCUGAUUCCUGCCCAUUAGUUCUUGUACUUGAAGAGGAUAUGAUGCAAGGGUAAAUUCUAGUUGCAUGUCUUAAGUUGAAGCAGAAAGGUCAGAGUUUGAUUCAGCUUAUUGAAUUUCAUAGGCUAGUUUCUCAGCAUUGAACGUGCUGGUUGAGGUUCACAUUGUCUUGAUUUCGAAAGCUAGAACGCUGGUUGAGUAGUAUCCAUUACCAUAGAAGUAAUCUUACCUGAAUGACAUAGAGAGCAUUUUAGAUCAUAUGAUAUAAGAUUAUCAUCGUUUUGUAAGGACAGUUGGGUGGCUGCUAGCCUCAUACCUUUGUAUGUGCUGAUAUGGGCAUCUGCCGGCAUGGCUUCGCUGCCUCACCAUUUGUGGACGAGACGUGGUGAAUUUGGUGGACCAUAUCUUCGAGGCUUGAGUUCUUUACACAUGGAAAUCUUUGGAUAUUACAUGCCAAAUAUUGGUAAUGGUGCAUUAUUCAUGUUGGUUUGGGCUCCACUUAGUGAGAAGUUUCGGUGGAGAUUUUUUUGACACGUAACAUAUUGAACGACAUAAAAAUUUGUCAUACAUGAGACAUUCUAUGUAAUUUCAUUUAAAUUUGUUAUUAAAAU